rnacentral:rRNA from 1 species
UGGCGGACGGGUGAGUAACGCGUGGGUAACCUGCCUUACACAGGGGGAUAACACUUAGAAAUAGGUGCUAAAACCGCAUAAGCGCACAGCUUCGCAUGAAGCGGUGUGAAAAACUCCGGUGGUGUAAGAUGGACCCGCGUCUGAUUAGCUUGUUGGCGGGGUAACGGCCCGCCAAGGCGACGAUCAGUAGCCGGCCUGAGAGGGCGGACGGCCACAUUGGGACUGAGACACGGCCCAGACUCCUACGGAAGGCAGCAG